rnacentral:rRNA from 1 species
CGAGUGGCGGACGGGUGAGUAAUGUCUGGGAAACUGCCUGAUGGAGGGGGAUAACUACUGGAAACGGUAGCUAAUACCGCAUAACGUCGCAAGACCAAAGAGGGGGACCUUCGGGCCUCUUGCCAUCGGAUGUGCCCAGAUGGGAUUAGCUAGUAGGUGGGGUAACGGCUCACCUAGGCGACGACCCCUAGCUGGUCUGAGAGGAUGACCAGCCACACUGGAACUGAGACACGGUCCAG